GAUGAACGCUGGCGGCGUGCCUAAUACAUGCAAGUCGAGCGAACAGACGAGGAGCUUGCUCCUCUGACGUUAGCGGCGGACGGGUGAGUAACACGUGGAUAACCUACCUAUAAGACUGGGAUAACUUCGGGAAACCGGGGCUAAUACCGGAUAAUAUAUUGAACCGCAUGGUUCAAUAGUGAAAGACGGUUUUGCUGUCACUUAUAGAUGGAUCCGCGCCGCAUUAGCUAGUUGGUAAGGUAACGGCUUACCAAGGCAACGAUGCGUAGCCGACCUGAGAGGGUGAUCGGCCACACUGGAACUGAGACACGGUCCAGACUCCUACGGGAGGCAGCAGUAGGGAAUCUUCCGCAAAGGGCGAAAGCCUGACGGAGCAACGCCGCGUGAGUGAUGAAGGUCUUCGGAUCGUAAAACUCUGUUAUUAGGGAAGAACAAAUGUGUAAGUAACUAUGCACGUCUUGACGGUACCUAAUCAGAAAGCCACGGCUAACUACGUG
rnacentral:rRNA from 1 species